UAGUUUCUUAUUAUCUUAUUUAAUUUGAUUUUCUAUAUUCUUUUUGAAAAAAAAAAUAUAAAAAAAUAUAUAAAAAAAAGAAAACGAAAAUAGAGAAAAGAAAAGAAAACAAAAGAAAAAGAAAAAAAAAAGGGAAAAAAAAACGUGUAAGAUGAUGAGAGGGUAUGCUGGAUUGGAGGGAGAAAAAAAAAGGUGUGUGCGUGGAGGGGGCAGGAUUUGGUUUUGGGGGAUUGUUGGAAGAAAAACCGUUAGAGAAAGAUUUUGGUGGGCACGGAGAAGCAAAGGAGGGUGAGAGGUUUUGAAAAAGAUCACUGAGAGCUUGAGAGAAAAAAAAGGAGAGGAAAUUAUCUUGACUGGAGUGGACAAUCAUCAUCUUUGGUGCUUUUAUUUCCGAUCUUCAUCUUGAGGAACGAACAACCAUUUCAAGUUUACAAUCGUUGAUCCACGGGUACCAGAGACACCAGCGGCUAACGCUAGGAGCUCUAAGCGGUAAUUUUAUCCAUUUGUCUAUGCUAAAAGUUUGCUAUAUAGUAUUGCAUUUCUGAGUUCUGCUAUGAUAUUGUUGAAUAUGAUAUUAUGAGUACUAUGUCUUCUUCUCCGAC
rnacentral:lncRNA from 1 species